UAAAAGAUAUCACAUCUACCCAAAGAACCAAAGCUGCUUCUCACACUCUGCCUCUGUGGGCAGACACAAGGCACUGUGAUCUGACUGUUUGAUGCCAGUUCAAGUGACAAUAGAGACAGAGAGCUGAGACAGAACAGGAAAGAGGAAACCUGCUGCAAAAGAGAUGAAUGAGGGCAGAGAAAAGACUAAGUAACACUGUAGAAGGGAAUACCUUUGAGGGGGAGAAUAUUUAAAGGGAAAACGUUUAGCUGGAUGGAACAUAAGAUACAGUGAACUAUUUUCUCUGAAUGGCUUAAAUCACAACAUUCUCUUGAAUGGAUAUCUUGAAUGGAUAACUUCACAAUAAGUUUACAUACAGCAACAGGUCUAUCUGCACCUGAUCUGAAGAGCCAAAAAAGGAAAUGGGCUAUUACAGGGAGAAAGCGCUGUCCCGUGGUUACAGCCAGUGACUAGAGGUGACGAGCCAUAGGUUCUAAACUCUGCCAGGAAAAAUUUCAGUGUUCCCACACAAGCACUAAGUACAAUUUUUUGAAGAAGAUCCUGCUUUUAUCAAGAUUGGAUCAUCUUCAGCAGGACCAUAUCCUUACUAGGAUCACUAAUGUGAAAGGGAAGAAGAGCUGUCGUCUCUGUUUAUUACCCCAAAGCUGAAUUGACUUAUGCACAGCGGACAUUGACUAUACUGUU